CGAAUGCUGACAUAAGUAACGAUAAAGCGGGUGAAAAGCCCGCUCGCCGGAAGACCAAGGGUUCCUGUCCAACGUUAAUCGGGGCAGGGUGAGUCGACCCCUAAGGCGAGGCCGAAAGGCGUAGUCGAUGGGAAACAGGUUAAUAUUCCUGUACUUGGUGUUACUGCGAAGGGGGGACGGAGAAGGCUAUGUUGGCCGGGCGACGGUUGUCCCGGUUUAAGCGUGUAGGCUGGUUUUCCAGGCAAAUCCGGAAAAUCAAGGCUGAGGCGUGAUGACGAGGCACUACGGUGCUGAAGCAACAAAUGCCCUGCUUCCAGGAAAAGCCUCUAAGCAUCAGGUAACAUCAAAUCGUACCCCAAACCGACACAGGUGGUCAGGUAGAGAAUACCAAGGCGCUUGAGAGAACUCGGGUGAAGGAACUAGGCAAAAUGGUGCCGUAACUUCGGGAGAAGGCACGCUGAUAUGUAGGUGAAGCGACUUGCUCGUGGAGCUGAAAUCAGUCGAAGAUACCAGCUGGCUGCAACUGUUUAUUAAAAACACAGCACUGUGCAAACACGAAAGUGGACGUAUACGGUGUGACGCCUGCCCGGUGCCGGAAGGUUAAUUGAUGGGGUCAGCGCAAGCGAAGCUCUUGAUCGAAGCCCCGGUAAACGGCGGCCGUAACUAUAACGGUCCUAAGGUAGCGAAAUUCCUUGUCGGGUAAGUUCCGACCUGCACGAAUGGCGUAAUGAUGGCCAGGCUGUCUCCACCCGAGACUCAGUGAAAUUGAACUCGCUGUGAAGAUGCAGUGUACCCGCGGCAAGACGGAAAGACCCCGUGAACCUUUACUAUAGCUUGACACUGAACAUUGAGCCUUGAUGUGUAGGAUAGGUGGGAGGCUUGGAAGUGUGGACGCCAGUCUGCAUGGAGCCGACCUUGAAAUACCACCCUUUAAUGUUUGAUGUUCUAACGUUGACCCGUGAUCCGGGUUGCGGACAGUGUCUGGUGGGUAGUUUGACUGGGGCGGUCUCCUCCUAAAGAGUAACGGAGGAGCACGAAGGUUGGCUAAUCCUGGUCGGACAUCAGGAGGUUAGUGCAAUGGCAUAAGCCAGCUUGACUGCGAGCGUGACGGCGCGAGCAGGUGCGAAAGCAGGUCAUAGUGAUCCGGUGGUUCUGAAUGGAAGGGCCAUCGCUCAACGGAUAAAAGGUACUCCGGGGAUAACAGGCUGAUACCGCCCAAGAGUUCAUAUCGACG
rnacentral:rRNA from 1 species